rnacentral:rRNA from 1 species
CCUACGGGUGGCAGCAGUGGGGAAUAUUGCACAAUGGGGGAAACCCUGAUGCAGCGACGCCGCGUGAGUGAAGAAGGAAUUCGGUAUGUAAAGCUCUUUCAGCCGGGAAGAAAAUGACGGUACCUGAAUAAGAAGCCCCGGCUAACUACGUGCCAGCAGCCGCGGUAAUACGGAGGGGGCAAGCGUUAUCCGGAUUUACUGGGUGUAAAGGGAGCGUAGGCGGCUGUGCAAGUCUGGAGUGAAAGGCGCGGGCUCAACCCGCGGACUGCUCUGGAUACUGGACGGCUGGAGUGCAGGAGAGGUAAGUGGAAUUCCUAGUGUAGCGGUGAAAUGCGUAGAUAUGAGGAGGAACACCAGUGGCGAAGGCGGCUUACUGGACUAUAACUGACGUUGAGGCUCGAAAGCGUGGGGAGCAAACAGGAUUAGAUACCCCUGUAGUC